rnacentral:rRNA from 1 species
AUGGAUGAGUGUUCAUCGCAUUCCCAAAUCGCAGAUCUGUCUAAAGGAAAAGCAAAAAAGAGAAAGAAACCUGGAGAACAAGCUGCUUCUGGUAAUUGCAAGGGCGCACUACUUGGACAAAGCUAUGGGGUACAAGAACAGCAACACUACACAAGAAAACUCCAAGAAUUAAGUAAAGAGGAAUUAUUAGACGUUCAGUAUGGAAAGCAAAGUUCUCAAAUGAUUAGUGAGCUUCUAGCACCUCAAGGAGCCGUACAAUCGUACACAGAACUCAUGCAACAGAUGACUGUGGUGAGUCAUCCUCAGAGUGACAACAUGGCAAUCCCUAUAACAAGUUUCACUUCGCUAUUGACAACAAGCAUAAAUGCUUAG